AACAAACAAUAAGAUCUCUUUAUUGCAAGUUAAAAUUUGUUUCAUCAAAAUAUUAAAACUAAGUUAGUAACAGUGAUGGAUAUUUUGAAACUUAAAUAUAUACUUAAAAGAAAGUUUUUUCACUUUUAGAAAUUUGAAAGGGUUAUCAGAAUGAUUAGCAUAAUCUAGUCUUCUUGAAAAUAAUAUAAACAUUAUUACUAUUAUUUAAAAAAUAAAAGGAAAGAAAUAAUUACAAUAACAAUCGUUCAACUACUUUAUACGUGGUAAGUAGCUAAAAAAUGAAUUAUUAAUGCGAUGCAGUAGUCCCACGUCGUAUUAGUUAUUAAUAGUAAUCUGGGAUAAAAAAUGCCCAGUCAUUUUGAAAAUGACGUCAUGGGGAUAAAUACGAGAUAAAGAGUCGUGCAGUAAGCAAUUGGCUUAAUUUACAGAAUAAUGAAACAACAUUUUAUCAUUUAGAAUGCAGGACCGUUCGCAUAAAUAGAUGUACACCAACUCCGGCGUUCGCAGUGUUAAUUGUGGUUUAGUUCUGUAGGUUCUGUAUAGUGUAUAGUAGUAGAUUAAUCGCUUUUUAAUACCGGUAUCAGUAUUUAUUGAAAGCUAUUUUCAUAUUGCCUUAUAUGUAAUAAGGGAAAAGUUCGCAGGCGAGCCCUUUCCACAAUUUAUUUUGAAAAUUUUUUAGGUAAG